rnacentral:tRNA from 1 species
GUGGGGUUGUGGCUCAGUGGUAGAGUGCUGGCCUAGUGUGUGCGAGGUGCUGGGUUUGAUCCUCAGCACCACA